rnacentral:rRNA from 1 species
AAGCCUACGGGAGGCAGCAGUAGGGAAUCUUCCACAAUGGACGAAAGUCUGAUGGAGCAACGCCGCGUGAGUGAAGAAGGUUUUCGGAUCGUAAAACUCUGUUGUAAGGGAAGAACACGUACGAGAGUAACUGCUCGUACCUUGACGGUACCUUAUUAGAAAGCCACGGCUAACUACGUGCCAGCAGCCGCGGUAAUACGUAGGUGGCAAGCGUUGUCCGGAAUUAUUGGGCGUAAAGCGCGCGCAGGCGGUUCUUUAAGUCUGAUGUGAAAGCCCACGGCUCAACCGUGGAGGGUCAUUGGAAACUGGAGAACUUGAGUACAGAAGAGGAAAGCGGAAUUCCACGUGUAGCGGUGAAAUGCGUAGAGAUGUGGAGGAACACCAGUGGCGAAGGCGGCUUUCUGGUCUGUAACUGACGCUGAGGCGCGAAAGCGUGGGGAGCAAACAGGAUUAGAUACCCUGGUAGUCCACGCCGUAAACGAUGAGUGCUAAGUGUUAGGGGGUUUCCGCCCCUUAGUGCUGCAGCUAACGCAUUAAGCACUCCGCCUGGGGAGUACGACCGCAAGGUUGAAACUCAAAGUGAAUUGACGG